UCCUUGAUAUAUUCAUCUUAACUGAUGACGAAUAUUCUUCCCUUGAGUUUAUCCUUGAUAUGUUCACUUUAACCAGUGACGGGUAUUCUCUUUCUUUGGUCUUCUACCCAGUAACCGGUAGUUGUAAAUCCUAUUUGAUAUGUUUCCCCAGCAGGUUGUUUCCUACCCAGUGACCGGUAACAAACACACCUCUUUUUCCUCAGCGAGUCAUCCUUGAUAUGUUUACCAUAA
rnacentral:lncRNA from 1 species